AGCAGCCGCGGUAAUUCCAGCUCCAAUAGCGUAUAUUAAAGUUGUUGCAGUUAAAAAGCUCGUAGUUGAAUUUCGGGAUCAGAGUGUCGGUCGUGCCUCGGUACGCACUGGUAUUAUUGGUUCCUACCUUCUGAAGAACUGCGAUGUCAUUAAUUUGGUGUCGUGGGGAAUCAGGACUGUUACUUUGAAAAAAUUAGAGUGUUUAAAGCAGGCUUACGCUUGAAUACAUUAGCAUGGAAUAAUGAAAUAGGACAUUUGAUUCUAUUUUGUUGGUUUCUAGGAUUGACGUAAUGAUUAAUAGGGAUAGUUGGGGGCAUUAGUAUUCAAUUGUCAGAGGUGAAAUUCUUGGAUUUAUUGAAGACUAACUACUGCGAAAGCAUUUGCCAAGGAUGUUUUCAUUAAUCAAGAACGAAAGUUAGGGGAUCGAAGACGAUCAGAUACCGUCGUAGU
rnacentral:rRNA from 1 species